rnacentral:rRNA from 1 species
AACAUUUWAACGGUUGCGGUAUUCUGACUGUGCUAAGGUAGCGUAAUCAAUUGUUUUUUAAUUGAAAACUGGAAUGAAAGGUUAAACAAAUUACCUUAGUUUGUGCAGCUUGGUUAGUAAAUUAAAGUCAAGGUAAGAAUUCUUUGAUUUUCUAGGGGACGAUAAGACCCUAGAAGCUUUAAAAAAGAAAAAUUUUUAGUAGUUGUAUAUAUUUUUUACUGGGGCGGUAUUGGUGUUUUAACUACUAAAAAUAGAGGUCGAUCCUUUAGAUAAAGAUAAUUCGGUGAAGUUACUUUAGGGAUAACAGUGCGGUAUUCUUGGAAAGGUCUUAUUAAUAAGAAUGUUCGCAACCUCGAUGUUGAAUUAAGAUGUCUACGUGGAGCAGUAAAUAC